UUCAACAUAGGAAAUCUGGGGUUACAACGUUCAGUCAAGUAAAGGGAACUGGUAGUGGAUGGAAACAAUACCCUCGCCCUCCGGGGGAGCAUAUCCACUGGUCUCCACGCCUUCCUCCUUCCCCUCCUGCCUCUGUGUGCUUUCCCUUCCCUGUCAGCCAUCCCAGAUGUUAAUUUAAACCCGAUCUCUCCCAUGUAGGUCGCAUCAGCAUGUCGAGCUCUGCAGGUGCCAGCACACUGGAACACAUGCUUGGGUUGGCGGGUGGUUGGAGGAGUGAGCUGUGCUUUUUCAUCCCCACAUCCCCAGCGCCCAGCAUGGAGAAGGGAUGUGAUCAAUAUCUGUUGGAAAUGGAACAAGCCUCAGGAUAAACAGCCCCAUCCUGGGAUGCGCCAUACAGUGGUCAUUGUUCUAAAGGCUCGAUCGGGGAAACUGAGUUUCAAAAGGCCUAAGUCGCGGACCCAGCUGGUCUCUAUCAGGAGCGGCCAGGCGGCUGGGGCAGGUGCUGCUGCUCCCUCCAUCCUCAUUGCAGGGAGUAGGUCAGAGGCGUUGGACCAACCUCGUUGGGGACUGGGGCUCAUAGCUUGUCUUGCUGGCAAGUGGGCUUGAGAGGAGGGAUGUGAAGGGGACAGUGCAGCAUUUUGCUCAGAGCUGGGUGCCCUGCCCAGCCCCACCAGGCCCUGGAGUCACUAUUGGCAGACAGAAGGGACCAUGGCUAUUUAAACUCUAUGCUCAUCCCGGCCCAAACGAUGCUGCACUGAUGCUCAGGUAAAGGGUUGGCUAAGAAGGGGGACAGGCCACCCACAGUGCCACAUGGUGUGGCUUGGACGCACCUGUCAU
rnacentral:lncRNA from 1 species